AUCAGUGGUAAAAUUUAUAGGAUUAUUGGGAUUUCAUAAUUUCUUCAACAUGUAAUGGUACCAUUCUUUUUCAUAAUUGCUGAGAUUUUUUUUCCUAACUUUUGUUCUCUAUAUUAAUACGAAUUCUUUCUUGUCUAUUUUUCUAGGACAUGUUUUAGUAAGCUCUGCUUCGAGACUUUUCAUCUUCAAUUGAAGCCCUUGAUCCUCAAUUGAAGCUUGUUUGAGGUCAAAUAUGUCCUUGUCAGUGAUAGCACUAGAGUUCUUGUCAUCAACUCAACCUCUCUUCUUUUGAAAUAGCUUUGCAAUUCCGGCAUAAUAUUGGACCAACAGCGAGGGAAAGUGAUUUUCAAUCUUCGCAGAGUUAAGAUUUGAGGAAGUGGUGGGAGCAGUGACAUGGUGGAGAUGGACAUUUUUCUUGAAUAAAUGGUUGAAAAAUUAUUUAAAAACAUUGUUGGAAAAAAUAUCGCUGGAGAACGGAAGUGGUCAUUGGCUGUCGGAGACAACUGUUGGAAGUGGUCGCUGGCAACUGAAGACGGUAGCUGGAGGUCAGUAAUUGGGAAAGGGAAUGAGUCGUGGCAAUGUUGAUAAUAGAAAUAAAGAAGGUAAUGGGCGAAAAAACAGUAAAUAAGACUUUGCAACUAUUUCUGUUUCUAUUCCUUGACCCCAACUCACUAUACCACACCAACUUUCUCUUCCCCUUCUUUGGAUGGAGCAACUGCGCAUUGAGCGAGAAAAUAACAGUACAUAUAUAUGAAUUUGUAAUCAAUGUUGAAUGAUUGGAUAAUAUAUAUAUAUAUAUGCGCAUUUACAAAUUAUAUAUACAUAUAUAUGUACAGUCUACAGAUUAUAUAUAUACAG